UGGGGAAUUUUGGACAAUGGGCGAAAGCCUGAUCCAGCAAUGCCGCGUGUGUGAAGAAGGCCUUCGGGUUGUAAAGCACUUUUGUCCGGAAAGAAAUCCUUGGCUCUAAUACAGUCGGGGGAUGACGGUACCGGAAGAAUAAGCACCGGCUAACUACGUGCCAGCAGCCGCGGUAAUACGUAGGGUGCAAGCGUUAAUCGGAAUUACUGGGCGUAAAGCGUGCGCAGGCGGUUUGCUAAGACCGAUGUGAAAUCCCCGGGCUCAACCUGGGAACUGCAUUGGUGACUGGCAGGCUAGAGUAUGGCAGAGGGGGGUAGAAUUCCACGUGUAGCAGUGAAAUGCGUAGAGAUGUGGAGGAAUACCGAUGGCGAAGGCAGCCCCCUGGGCAAUACUGACGCUCAUGCACGAAAGCGUGGGGAGCAAACAGGAUUAGAUACCCUGGUAGUCCACGCCCUAAAACGAUGUCAACUAGUUGUUGGGGAUUCAUUUCCUUAGUAACGUAGCUAACGCGUGAAGUUGACCGCCUGGGGAGUACGGUCGCAAGAUUAAAACUUAAAGGAAUUGACGGGGUCAUAGCUGUUUCCU
rnacentral:rRNA from 1 species